rnacentral:rRNA from 1 species
GAUGAACGCUGGCGGCGUGCUUAACACAUGCAAGUCGAACGAAGCACUUUAUUUGAUUUCCUUCGGGACUGAUUAUUUUGUGACUGAGUGGCGGACGGGUGAGUAACGCGUGGGUAACCUGCCUUGUACAGGGGGAUAGCAGUUGGAAACGGCUGCUAAUACCGCAUAAGCGCACAGCAUCGCAUGAUGCAGUGUGAAAAACUCCGGUGGUAUAAGAUGGACCCGCGUUGGAUUAGCUAGUUGGUGAGGUAACGGCCCACCAAGGCGACGAUCCAUAGCCGACCUGAGAGUGUGACCGGCCACAUUGGGACUGAGACACGGCCCAAACUCCUACGGGAGGCAGCAGUGGGGAAUAUUGCACAAUGGGCGAAAGCCUGAUGCAGCGACGCCGCGUGAGCGAAGAAGUAUUUCGGUAUGUAAAGCUCUAUCAGCAGGGAAGAUAAUGACGGUACCUGACUAAGAAGCACCGGCUAAAUACGUG